rnacentral:rRNA from 1 species
UCGGGUUGUAAAGCACUUUUGUCCGGAAGAAAACCUCUGCCCUAAUACGGCGGGGGGAUGACGGUACCGGAAGAAUAAGCACCGGCAACUACGUGCCAGCAGCCGCGGUAAUACGUAGGGUGCAAGCGUUAAUCGGAAUUACUGGGCGUAAAGCGUGCGCAGGCGGUCCGUUAAGACAGAUGUGAAAUCCCCGGGCUUAACCUGGGAACUGCAUUUGUGACUGGCGGACUCGAGUAUGGCAGAGGGGGGUAGAAUUCCACGUGUAGCAGUGAAAUGCGUAGAGAUGUGGAGGAGUACCGAUGGCGAAGGCAGCCCCCUGGGCCAAUGCUGACGCUCAUGCACGAAAGCGUGGGGAGCAAACAGGAUUAGAUACCCUGGUAGUCCACGCCCUAAACGAUGUCAACUGGUUGUCGGGCCUUCGUUGGCUUGGUAACGUAGCUAACGCGUGGAGUUGACCGCCUGGGGAGUACGGUCGCAAGAUUAAAACUCAAAGGAAUUGACGGGGACCCGCACAAGCGGUGGAUGAUGUGGAUUAAUUCGAUGCAACGCGAAAAACCUUACCUACCCUUGACAUGUACGGAACCUGGCUG